GAUGAACGCUGGCGGCGUGCCUAAUACAUGCGAGUCGAGCGAACGGACGAGAAGCUUGCUUCUCUGAUGUUAGCGGCGGACGGGUGAGUAACGCGUGGAUAACCUACCUAUAAGACUGGGAUAACUUCGGGAAACCGGAGCUAAUACCGGAUAAUAUUUUGAACCGCAUGGUUCAAAAGUGAAAGACGGUCUUGCUGUCACUUAUAGAUGGAUCCGCGCUGCAUUAGCUAGUUGGUAAGGUAACGGCUUACCAAGGCAACGAUGCAUAGCCGACCUGAGAGGGUGAUCGGCCACACUGGAACUGAGACACGGUCCAGACUCCUACGGGAGGCAGCAGUAGGGAAUCUUCCGCAAUGGGCGAAAGCCUGACGGAGCAACGCCGCGUGAGUGAUGAAGGUCUUCGGAUCGUAAAACUCUGUUAUUAGGGAAGAACAUAUGUGUAAGUAACUGUGCACAUCUUGACGGUACCUAAUCAGAAAGCCACGGCUAACUACGUGCCAGCAGCCGCGGUAAUACGUAGGUGGCAAGCGUUAUCCGGAAUUAUUGGGCGUAAAGCGCGCGUAGGCGGUUUUUUAAGUCUGAUGUGAAAGCCCACGGCUCAACCGUGGAGGGUCAUUGGAAACUGGAAAACUUGAGUGCAGAAGAGGAAAGUGGAAUUCCAUGUGUAGCGGUGAAAUGCGCAGAGAUAUGGAGGAACACCAGUGGCGAAGGCGACUUUCUGGUCUGUAACUGACGCUGAUGUGCGAAAGCGUGGGGAUCAAACAGGAUUAGAUACCCUGGUAGUCCACGCCGUAAACGAUGAGUGCUAAGUGUUAGGGGGUUUCCGCCCCUUAGUGCUGCAGCUAACGCAUUAAGCACUCCGCCUGGGGAGUACGACCGCAAGGUUGAAACUCAAAGGAAUUGACGGGGACCCGCACAAGCGGUGGAGCAUGUGGUUUAAUUCGAAGCAACGCGAAGAACCUUACCAAAUCUUGACAUCCUUUGACAACUCUAGAGAUAGAGCCUUCCCCUUCGGGGGACAAAGUGACAGGUGGUGCAUGGUUGUCGUCAGCUCGUGUCGUGAGAUGUUGGGUUAAGUCCCGCAACGAGCGCAACCCUUAAGCUUAGUUGCCAUCAUUAAGUUGGGCACUCUAAGUUGACUGCCGGUGACAAACCGGAGGAAGGUGGGGAUGACGUCAAAUCAUCAUGCCCCUUAUGAUUUGGGCUACACACGUGCUACAAUGGACAAUACAAAGGGCAGCGAAACCGCGAGGUCAAGCAAAUCCCAUAAAGUUGUUCUCAGUUCGGAUUGUAGUCUGCAACUCGACUACAUGAAGCUGGAAUCGCUAGUAAUCGUAGAUCAGCAUGCUACGGUGAAUACGUUCCCGGGUCU
rnacentral:rRNA from 1 species